rnacentral:lncRNA from 1 species
CGACAUUUUAUUAAUUUUAAAAGCUAUAGAUUAUAGAAAUAAAAAUUUUCCGUAUGAAAUUUCCCUCCUAAGGGUCGGCCCAAGUCCAGGACCUGUCUGGGAAUUGUGGACAUAUCGGUAGGACACGGGCAAGGAUUGCCAUCUCGCUCAGCACCUGUUUCCUUGAACGAUGAGAAUAACCCAUCUCUCCUGUUUUAAGUGUGAUUUGUCAUAUACAUCAAUAGGCAUCUUGGCUCAACAUACGAAAGCCCCUUUCCACAGAGACAGCUGCCUCCAGCCUGAAGAAGUUGCCACAGGAGGUAGAAGGAGGUCCCUUGCCCAUGCCUGGGAGACCCAGCCAGAGUGGACAGGGAGGCGGCCCGGGCCGGGGUGCCAGACUCAGCAAAUAAACACAGCAUGCCCAGGCAACGAAAGCAAGCGCUGCAAAGACGAAGGGGAGCGCCCAAGGAUGAGGAACGUUCCAAGACACUGAGUGAUUUGCUGAAAAUCACACAUCUAGAUGCAAAGCCAGAAUGCGAGCAGUGACCACCACACUUGACAAAUCCGUUGUUGCACACAUUUGUACUCUUCAAUCAACAAAACCUGAUGCAAAAAACAGAAAAGGGGGAGAUGUACAUGCAUUUUCCCUCACUGCAAAAAAAACACAACUUGUUUAACUACAGGUGUGUUCCUGGUGGUCUUUGAAUGAAGACAUUGACAGAAAGUAACAUAGCAUGCUGGUUAAAGACUGUUUUUAUUCGAAUCCUGGCUUUGCCAAUCAACAGCUGCAUAAAUUAAACUCUCGACCUCAGCUCCCUUAUUUGUAAAACAAGAAUAACAAAAAGACAUUUUUAUAAGGUUGGGUUGAAGGUUAAAUGAAAUAACAGAAGAUUAUCUCUUCACUAAUUUUAGCUGUAGAAAACAGAAGCCAAUCGAAAGAGCUCCCAGUCCAAAGCUGGAACAACUUGAACAACAAAAUAAAUAAUGUAGCAUUGGAUUACAAACCAACCAUAAAACAAAUAUCCAUGAGUC